UUGGGGAAAAUUUUAUUGAAGGGGAGAAAUCUGUGGUUGUGGGUUAGUGCUCUAUUUAUAGAAAUCUCCAUCAGCCUCUUUCUCAUCUUCCCCAUUACUACAAACUCAAAGGUUCCGGUGUUCCCCAACUCUUCACCAACCUAAAGGCAGCUGCCAACUACUCGACUGUCAUAACUGCAAACUACUUUUUAAAAGAUGUCUCCAUGGCUGCCUCCUUCAUUAAGGUUUCUGAUAACAUGUCACCUCCUCUGAGGGGCACAUCAUCCUCGACCAUCCUAGACAAAAGAGGACACACACCUGCCCUAUGCCCACUCGUUACACUUACAGAAACCUGAUGCUGUGUGUUCCCUACACCUGGCACAUAAAAGAUGAUUUUUUUCUGCACCAAAAGAAACUUGUACUAACUUCUUAGAACAUGUCUGAAGAGGAGCUGGUCUGAGGCACUGAGAAGAAGAAGAUACCAGUUUGAAAAGAGUUCCCACUAGAGCAACAUGGAUUCUGCUAAAAUUGAAGCAAGAACAGACAUCAAAUUUCUGGUGAAGGUUGGGUGGAAGAAUGGUGAAAUCACUGAUGCUCUAUGAAAGUUUAUGGGCACAAUUCCCCAAAUAAAUCAUCAGUUUAGAAAUGGUUAACCUAUUUUAAGAAAGAACAAGACAAUAUUGAAGAUGAAGCCCACAGUGGCAGAGGAACCACAUCGAAGGAAAAAAUCCAUCUUGUUGAUGCCCUAAUUGCCAAGGGCUGAGAUUAAUAGAAGAAGCAAUAGCCAACACCAUAGACACCUUAAUUAGUCUGGCUUACAGAAUUCUGACUGAAAAAUUAAAGUUGAGCAAACUUUCCACUCAGUGGGUGCCAAAACAGUUGUGCCCUGAUCAGCUGCAAAGGGCAGAACUUUCAUGGGAAAUUUUAAACAAGUGGGAUCAAGGCCCUGAAGCAUUUCUUGUAAGAACUUUAGCAGAAGAUGAAACACGGUUUUACCACUGUGAUCCUGAAGACAAAGCUCAACCAGAGCAGUGGCUACCGAGGGGUGGCUGUGGUCCAGUCAAAGCGAAAGUGGACCUGUCAAGAGCAAAGGCCAUGGCAACGUGGUUUGGGGAUGCUCAAGGCAUUUUGCUUGUUAACUUUCUAGAAGGUCAAAGAAUGUAAAUAUCUGCUUAUGAUGAGAGUGUUUUGAGAAAGUUAGCCAAAGCUUUUGUAGAAAAAUGCCUGGGAAAACAUCACCAGGGAGUCCUUCUCCUCCAUGACAAUGGUCCCCCUCAUUCCUCUCAUCAAAGGCAAUUUUGCAAGAGUUUUAACUGGAAAGCACUAAGCAGCCACCUUACAGUUCUCAUGGUGGUUCCUUCUGACUUCUUUUUGUUUCCUAAUCUUAAAAAAUCUGCACA